rnacentral:rRNA from 1 species
GACGAACGCUGGCGGCGUGCCUAAUACAUGCAAGUAGAACGCUGAAGGAGGAGCUUGCUUCUCUGGAUGAGUUGCGAACGGGUGAGUAACGCGUAGGUAACCUGCCUGGUAGCGGGGGAUAACUAUUGGAAACGAUAGCUAAUACCGCAUAAUAGUAGAUGUUGCAUGACAUUUGCUUAAAAGGUGCAAUUGCAUCACUACCAGAUGGACCUGCGUUGUAUUAGCUAGUUGGUGAGGUAACGGCUCACCAAGGCAACGAUACAUAGCCGACCUGAGAGGGUGAUCGGCCACACUGGGACUGAGACACGGCCCAGACUCCUACGGGAGGCAGCAGUAGGGAAUCUUCGGCAAUGGACGGAAGUCUGACCGAGCAACGCCGCGUGAGUGAAGAAGGUUUUCGGAUCGUAAAGCUCUGUUGUAAGAGAAGAACGAGUGUGAGAGUGGAAAGUUCACACUGUGACGGUAUCUUACCAGAAAGGGACGGCUAACUACGUGC